rnacentral:lncRNA from 10 species
CCUCUGAGAACCUCCUAGCACCCCAGAACUCCCAGACAGAAUGUUAGGUAAUGCCAAUGAGCACAGAUCAAUCAUCUGCACAAGCUGAAGACGGAGCACUUUCCAUGGAGUGCUGAUGAAGUGCCAGGGUCCUAGGCUCCUUCUGGUGUGCCACCCCUCGGACAAGUCUCUCAGCCUCAAGGUCCAGGAUGGCAACAUCUGUCCAAACAGCAAGAUGGAGAACAGGACAGGAUAGGAACGAAGUAGGAGAGGGGCCAAGGACUCAUGCUGGCAUCCCGCCAGCCUUUUGACACGAGUCACCCUUCCGCCACUUUAUAAAAAAAGGUAGGCCUCUUAUCAGUGGUAGGCAAUAGCAGGGUAG